rnacentral:rRNA from 1 species
CCUACGGGAGGCAGCAGUAGGGAAUCUUCCACAAUGGGCGAAAGCCUGAUGGAGCAACGCCGCGUGGGUGAAGAAGGUCUUCGGAUCGUAAAACCCUGUUGUUAGAGAAGAAAGUGCGUGAGAGUAACUGUUCACGUGUCGACGGUAUCGAACCAGAAAGCCACGGCUAACUACGUGCCAGCAGCCGCGGUAAUACGUAGGUGGCAAGCGUUAUCCGGAUUUAUUGGGCGUAAAGGGAACGCAGGCGGUCUUUUAAGUCUGAUGUGAAAGCCUUCGGCUUAACCGGAGUAGUGCAUUGGAAACUGGGAGACUUGAGUGCAGAAGAGGAGAGUGGAACUCCAUGUGUAGCGGUGAAAUGCGUAGAUAUCUGGCAGAACCCCAGUGGCGAAUGCGGCUCUCUGGUCUGUACCUGACGCUGUGGUUCGACCGCGUGGGUAGCAAACAGGAUUAGAUACCCCUGUAGUC